rnacentral:rRNA from 1 species
CUUAAGCAUAUCAAUAAGCGGAGGAAAAGAAACCAACAGGGAUUGCCCCAGUAACGGCGAGUGAAGCGGCAACAGCUCAAAUUUGAAAUCUGGCCCCCCAGGGCCCGAGUUGUAAUUUGCAGAGGAUGCUUUUGGCGCGGCGCCUUCCGAGUUCCCUGGAACGGGACGCCAUAGAGGGUGAGAGCCCCGUCUGGUCGGACGCCUAGCCUGUGUAAAGCUCCUUCGACGAGUCGAGUAGUUUGGGAAUGCUGCUCUAAAUGGGAGGUAUAUGUCUUCUAAAGCUAAAUACCGGCCAGAGACCGAUAGCGCACAAGUAGAGUGAUCGAAAGAUGAAAAGCACUUUGAAAAGAGGGUUAAACAGUACGUGAAAUUGUUGAAAGGGAAGCGCUUGUGACCAGACUUGGGCCCGGUGGAUCAUCCAGCGUUCUCGCUGGUGCACUCCGCCGGGUCCAGGCCAGCAUCAGUUCGCCGCGGGGGAGAAAGGCUUCGGGAACGUGGCUCCUACGGGAGUGUUAUAGCCCGUUGCACAAUACCCUGGGGCGGACUGAGGUUCGCGCUCCGCAAGGAUGCUGGCGUAAUGGUCAUCAGCGACC